GCAGUAUUAGGCUAACACUCAAGCAGUUGGCCUUGAAACAUGAUGGUUGCCAGUUCAAUUCCAAGCAUGGAAUGUAGGUUUUUAAAAAAUCACAUUCAAACAUUAUUGUUUUAGUAUGAUGUCAGUUGGCCGGAUUUGAAGUGGAAUGUGUGAAACACAUUUGACUGUUAAUAAUGAAUUUACUCAACACCAUGUGACCAUCAAACCACAACUGACAACUUGGCAUGGAAAAAUGUGUCUAUCAACCUCACUUCAAGGCAGCCGAUAUGGGACCACAAGAACUCUAUGAUAUAUCAGCUCUGCUCAACACUCCAAAGGACAAACAACUGACUGUGUUGUGAAGUCUGACACUAUUUUGGGGGACAUGUUAUUGCAAGUUAUAUGGAGCUCCUUCAGCCUCCAACUCCUAAUAAAAGAUUCAGAAAUGGACAACAAAUAAAUGA